UACGGGGGGGGCAAGCGUUGUUCGGAAUUACUGGGCGUAAAGGGCUCGUAGGCGGCCAACUAAGUCAGACGUGAAAUCCCCAGGCUCAACCUGGGAACUGCGUCUGAUACUGGAUGGCUUGAAUCCGGGAGAGGGAUGCAGAAUUCCAGGUGUAGCGGUGAAAUGCGUAGAUAUCUGGAGGAACACCGGCGGCGAAGGCGGCUCACUGGCCAUAUACUGACGCUGAAACACGAAAGCGUGGGUAGCAAACAGG
rnacentral:rRNA from 1 species